GAGGCGGUCGUCCGCGUCGAGAUCGGAGCACAUGCGAACCCGGUCAAGGCCGGGAGGGAGCGG
rnacentral:SRP_RNA from 1 species